rnacentral:rRNA from 1 species
CCAGCGAUUAGUCGGUGUUAAUAUACGACCCGACUAGCAGCUUCCGGGAAACCAAAGUUUUUCGUUUCCGAGGGAAGUAUGGUUGCAAAGCUGAAACUUAAAGGAAUUGACGGAAGGGCACCACCAGGAGUGGAGCCUGCGGCUUAAUUUGACUCAACACGGGAAAACUCACCCGGCCCGGACACCGUAAGGAUUGACAGACUGAGAGCUCUUUCUUAAUUCGGUGGGUGGUGGUGCAUGGCCGUUCUUAGUUGGUGGAGCGAUUUGUCUGGUUAAUUCCGAUAACGAACGAGACUCUGGCCUAUUAAAUAGUCGGUAUAUCCAGAAAAGUUUACCGUACUUCUUAGAGGGACAAACGGCGUCUAGCCGCGUGAAAUAGAGCAAUAACAGGUCUGUGAUGCCCUUAGAUGUCCGGGGCUGCACGCGCGCUACACUGAAAGAAUCAGUAUGCGCUUUAACCUAGUCCGGAAGGAUUGGGUAACCCGAGCAAAUUCUUUCGUGCUUGGGAUAGGGAAUUGCAAUUAUUUCCCUUAAACGAGGAAUUCCCAGUAAAUGCGGGUCAUAAGCUCGCGUUGAUUACGUCCCUGCCCUUUGUACACACCGCCCGUCGCUACUACCGAUUGGAUGACUUAGUGAGGACUUCGGACUGGUCAACCCAGACCUUGGGGUUAAACCUUUGGUCGGGUUGUGCUGGAAAG